GAGCAAAGGGGCCUGAUAAAGUGGCGAAUCUUUGCAUUGAAGGUUGGUGAUAUCAACUGCAGUUCUCCGUGCCGCUCAGAAUUUUCAAUGCUGUGACGGCCUCGAACAAUCUGCUACAUU